ensembl:lncRNA
GUUGGGAACGUCAUCGGUUCAAGGCGAGAUGAGAAGGUGCUUCCCUUCGAACAUAGGAAAAGAAAGCACUAUUUGAAAUGAAUUCGACACCACUUGUCCACCCAACGUCAUUGCGUGACGUGGAGUAUUGCUGACUGGCGUCUCUAGCGUGAAACUACAAAUGUCGAAGAUGGACCACAACAAGCGCCAUUUUAUGGAAAGUUGGAGUAAGGGCACAAGGGCUAAGGAAGCUACUUGUAUAUGUGUGUAUUCAGGUAUGUCUUUUAUUCCUUUUAUUUCAAUCAUUUCUGUUGUAAUAUUGUAUGUAGUCGGGCCUUUGUUCUGAUCCCCUUGGGAAGAGAGUUGAAGUAAGGGCACAAGGGCUAAGGAAGCUAUUUGUAUAUGUGUGUAUUCAGAUCGAAUAAAUGGACGUCGGAGUGCCCGAGUCCAGACACAUCGUGGGUCACGUCAUUCAUAAUUAGAAAGAAACACAACGCAGAACGAACCGGUCACAUAUAUAUAUUUAUUUAUUUUUAAAAUGACAUUAAUUUGUGUCUGAACGCAUCUUAAUUCCAUAUUUUUUUCAGUUCUUACAACAUAAUUCCAGAGGCCCCAGGGCCCACCAAUAUGCCGGCGCUGGCCCCCGGUGACAUCAUCAGCGAAUUUUGAAUCGUUGGCCGUAGUGACAGAGUUGAUAGAUAAGUGAACUACUAUGGCCACUGCCUUCACAUCACCUAGCGAUCCUGUUUCUGAUCUCCUUUGUUUGCCUUUUUCAAAGCGAUCGUUUGGAGAGAAGACAGAUUUAAUUUCAAGAGGAAGACCUACAUCGAAGC